UAGUUUAAUUGGUUAGAGCGUCAUGCUAAUAACAUGAAAAUCACAGGUUUGAUUCCUAU
rfam:Glycine max cultivar Williams 82 chromosome 2, whole genome shotgun sequence.